UUGAACCUUGCAGAUAACCGAACACAAUCCCACAAAAAAAAAAACAGAGAGGCUAUUCUCAGUUACUUUCCUCCGGUCGCGCGUACUUUCCACCCGUCGCAAAUGGGCCAAUCCCCUUCCGCCGCUUUUCACCGCGAAGCCUCCCUCACCCUCUUAUCUUCUUCUGUUUUCCUUUCGGGCGAGGAAUUUCUCGGUGAAAUCGUGGCGAACCGGGAUUACACCGCUGAGAUUCCUGACGAGUGUUUGGCUUAUAUUUUCCAGUUCAUCGGCCCUGGCGAUCGGAACCGGUGUUCCCUUGUCUGCAAGCGGUGGUUUCGCGUCGACGGUUGGAGCCGCCACCGUUUGUCUCUCAACGCCCAAUCCGAGAUUGUUUCUUCUUUACCUUCUAUAUUAACGCGCUUCAACUCCGUGACCAGACUCGCCCUACGGUGUAGCCGUAAAUCAAUCAGCAUAACAGACGAUAAUUUGCUUACGGUCUCAACCUAUUGCAAAAAUCUCACACGGCUGAAGCUCCGUGGUUGCCGCGAAAUCACUGACGAAGGAAUGUCCGCAUUUGCUCAGAAUUCUAAGAAUUUAAGAAAACUUUCUUGUGGUUCUUGCAUGUUCGGCGCUAAAGCUUUAAACGCCGUGCUCGAUCAUUGCAAUAAUUUAGAAGAGUUAUCGGUGAAAAGGCUCAGAGGAAUCCAUGACGGAGCUGAGCCGAUCAGGCCAGGAGCCGCGGCUUCUUCACUGAAGACGAUUGGCUUGAAAGAACUUGUUAAUGGUCAGUCUUUUGCACCACUUGUGGUUGGAUCAAAAAACCUUAAAGCUUUGAGAAUUAUUCAUUGUUUGGGUGAUUGGGAUAGUGUCCUUCAGUUAAUUGGGAAUCGAAAUAGAAACAGUAAUCCUUUGAUGGAAAUUCACCUUGAGAGGCUUCAAGUGAGUGAUAUAGGCCUAUUUGCGAUUGCAAACUGUGCCAAAAUUGAGAAUUUGCAUAUUGUGAAAACCCCAGAGUGUUCGAAUUAUGGGCUUGUUUGUGUGGCUGAGAAUUGUAAGUUGCUGAGGAAGCUUCAUAUUGAUGGAUGGAGGACUAAUAGGAUUGGAGAUGAGGGUUUGAUUGCUGUUGCUAAACAUUGUCCCAAUUUACAAGAACUUGUUUUGAUUGGUGUUAAUGCUACCCAUUUGAGCUUGUCAGCCAUCGCAUGUAAUUGUUCAAAACUUGAAAGAUUAGCUCUUUGUGGAAGUAGCACUAUUGGUGAUACGGAGAUUGCAUGCAUUGCUGCAAAAUGUAUGGCAUUGAAGAAACUUUGCAUCAAGGGAUGCCCGAUCUCAGAUAUCGCCAUUGAAGCACUUGGUUCCGGUUGUCCCAAUUUGAUCAAAAUUAAGGUGAGGAAAUGUAGAGGAGUGAGUAGUGACGCUGGUGAAUGGUUGCGAGAACAAAGGGGAUUGAUUCUGGUUAAUGUGGAUGCUUUUGACAUAGAUUGUGGUUUUGAGGCUAGUGUAAGUGAUGGUGGAGCUCAUGAAAUUGGUGUGGAGUUACCGCAGGCUGUUGGCCAAGUAACUGGCACAGAUGCUUCCACGAGCAGCAAUGGUGAGUCAGAGCUGCAUUAAACCAAACUUCAGAGAAAGUUGGUGGAUUACUUAACUUGGCUGCUGGUACUGAUAUAGUUCACUCUUUCGCAAUCUUCUUCAUCUCCGAAACUGAAGACCCAGGCAUCAGCACUCAGCAGCAACAGUUAUGAUAUCUCUUGUUCACAUCGAGCUUCUUCUGGUGAUCUCAAAUCCGAAGGAAGGGUUAGAUUGAUAACUGCAAAUCAUAAUCGGUUUCCAGCUUCAGUCUGCUGACUACUUUUCCGACCCCUUGAAUCAACUUCGGUGCAUUCAGAGAAGACAGCAUCUUUGUAUUCGUUUCCAGAAGCUCUAGGUUUGGUUUGAAUUGGCGUUGACUUCAUAGUU